CCCUCAGUGGCUUGCUCCUGAAUUAGCAAUGUAAAACUGGCCCCAAUGGGUUUUUUAAAUGGUCAGAAGUUGCUCCUGAUUAGUUCAAAUCUUUUCUGACAAGAAAAAAUAUCAGCUCUGACCAGUUGAAAUCUAUUUUGAGCAGUUUAAAGCUAAUUCUGCAGAGCUGGAGCCUGAGGUCGGUAAACCCAGGAAGAUGGCUGAAGACUAUGCUGAUUCAAGCCAAAGCAAGGAACCAGGUCUGCAGUGAGGUACUUCAGGUGACUCUGAUGCAGGUUGUCCUUGACAAUGCUCUGAAAACUGUCAUGCUGUCACGUGGAGAGCACUGCGUCCUGCCCAUCUUCAUUCCUGGCAGUUAACUAGCUCCCAUGCUGCCCUGCUCACUGCAGAAUGCAGCCAGGAAAUGGCUGUAGGAGGUCUGCAGCUCCAUCUCAUUUCCUGAUUUCCAACACCUGGAUUUCAUGGACAAGUCAAAUCAUGAGAAAAACCAUUGGAAAAAUCCCAUUUAAGAGACAUUCUACAAAUAUCUGACUGGUACUCCUCAAAACUGGCAAGGUCAUCAAAAAUAAGGAAAGUCUGAGAAACUGUUCGAGCCAAGAAGAACCUAAGAAGACAUGACAAGUAAGUGUAAUAUGGUAUCUUGGAUGGGAUCCUGGAACACAAAAAUGACAUUUGGUAAAUUCUGAGGACAUCUGAAUAAAGUAUGGACUUUGGUAAAAAUUAUAAAUAAUAAAAAGUAUAUAUCAGAAUAAGUUCACUAAUGGUAAAAAAUGUAAAAUAUUAAUGAAAGAUGUUCAUAGUAGGGAAAACUGGGUGGUAUUGAAAAGGGUGUUGUGUUUAUUGAAUACUUUGUACUGUCUUCAACUUUUCUAUAAACCUAAAACUAUUCCAAAAUAAAGAUACUAUUUAAAAAAUUAGAAGACAGUAGGCAAAUGUGAAACAUGAUAUACAUAAGAGGAGAAAGUUUUUUUAAAAAUUGAAGGAAAAUAACGCAGAAAAGGAUAAGCUAUAUAAGAAAAACCAGUGUAAAAUUCUAAAAAAAUAUCCCUACCCCCUGACAUAACCCCUGAAAAACAAAGAAGUAAAACACAAUUAAAAUCCAAAACCCAAGGAAAGAAAAAUGGGAAAUUUAAAAAUGGGGAAAAAAACUGGAAAAGAAAAAUUAAAAAAAAACUACAAGUAAAAAAGG